AUGUACAUUAUGGCUCUCUCCUUGCCUGGAACUGGAUAUGAGAAAUGCUUGAAUUAAGAUCUGUGAAUUAUCUUAUUUUCUUGGAGGCAAAGCUAAUGAAAACUCACAUCAUCAUGGUGCACAGGCAGAACUAGCCCACAGAAGCCCUGCUUGUUGGUCAAAGCUGGUCCAAGACUCCUUUUGCCAAGAUACUGCUGCUGCUACUAAUCCCCUCCUAGCUCCUUGGAGUACAGCCCAGAAAGGACAGAAUCUUACAGACAAAGUUGAAGUGAGAGAGAAAGCGAAGAAUGGGCACAUAAAAGGGAAUUUGCCCAGAUCUAGUCCUGAAAGACCUACAAGAUCCUGCAUUUUUUUCAGGUUUUUCACUAAUUUUAAAGACUCUGAGAAGUCUUAAUCUAGAUCCAGGCUCAGUCAGAAGGAUGCAGAUUGCCCAUACUUCAUAGCAGAGCAACAGGAGGGACUUAGGGACAAAAAGCUCAAAGGCAAGGAAGACUGAGGAAGCUAAGUUACUGGCCAUAUGUUUAAUAAAUAUAAGCUUAAUGGCAGUGAAUGUAUUAAUGUCAGCGAAGACAAGUCUAUGAAGUUAAACAGGCACAGAGAGGCUAAGAGUCUUGCCAAAGGCCACAGAGGAAGGAAGAGACUAAAUCUGGAACAAACUUUCUAUUCUCCAUUUCCAGAAGAAACCACUAAACCAUGCUUCCUCUUGUCAUGGAAGCUUAAAAUAUUUGGACUGUCUGUGGAUCCAGGGAGGAAUUUCAGAAGAGCCAGGAUUAGUCAAUCAAAUUAAACUCAAUAUCACCCAAAUAAAGUUGGUCAGAUCAAACUACGUUUAAAUAAGAAUUAAAAUGCCAUUUGUCCAUCACCUAAUGGCUCAAUUUGCUCCUGCCUUGGGUGUGCACACCCUGCUCUGGAACAGACCAGAGCUCUAAAGAAGUGACUGGAAGUUGUGAAUGUCAUUGUUAUGAAGCUUCAAAUUUGCUCUCCUCUUUAGGACACAGACAUGGCAUUAGAGAAGGGCAGAAAACUGCACUUGGCUGUGCAUAGAGAACACUAGAGACCUCUUGUGCAAGAGAGGGGACUAGGUUGCGUAGUGUAAUGAGAGAAGCAUGGGUUUUGAGACCGCUACAAUGUCUGUGUCUUCUUGGCCAACAUUUCAGUAAGAGUAGUAAGCAUAUCUCCACAAUAGGGUUAAGAGAACCAGUGUCUUCUGAAAAACACAUGAAAUCAUCGUAACCCUGCUAAGUCUGUGCUUUGCAAAAAUUAAAACUAAAACUAAUUUUCA
rnacentral:lncRNA from 1 species